GUGACAUACCUUUAUGUUGCCUCGGCGGAUCAGCCCGCGCCCCGUAAAACGGGACGGCCCGCCGCAGGAACCACAAAACUCUGAUUUUAGUGUAACUUCUGAGUCUAAAAAACAAAUAAAUCAAAACUUUCAACAACGGAUCUCUUGGUUCUGGCAUCGAUGAAGAACGCAGCAAAAUGCGAUAAGUAAUGUGAAUUGCAGAAUUCAGUGAAUCAUCGAAUCUUUGAACGCACAUUGCGCCCGCCAGUAUUCUGGCGGGCAUGCCUGUUCGAGCGUCAUUUCAACCCUCAAGCCCCCGGGUUUGGUGUUGGGGAUCGGGCUGUACUCCAGCCCGGCCCCGAAAUCUAGUGGCGGUCUCGCUGCAGCCUCCAUUGCGUAGUAGCUAACACCUCGCAACUGGAACGCGGCGCGGCCAAGCCGUUAAACCCCCAACUUCUGAAUGUUGACCUCGGAUCAGGUAGGAAUACCCGCUGAACUUAAGCAUAUCAAUAA
rnacentral:rRNA from 1 species